GGAGGCUGGGCAGACCCUUCAGGGCUCCUGUUCUGGUCAGAUGGCAGGGCCUGGAUGGCUCAGUUACUCUCUGAGUAACAAAACACGUGAAAUUCAAAACUCAGCAAACAAGCACUUUUAAGACUCAGGAAAAUGCCCAACCAUAUCCAGAGUGCAGCUUCCCCAUGGAAGAAAAGUUCCAAGCAGAUUGCACAAGCACAGCUGCUUCACAAAGAUUUUAAUUGGCACAGAGUGCAAGUUUGUUUGUUUGUUUGUUUGUUUGUUUUUCCCCGUAAUGCUUUUCUAGAGUAUAAAGGCCUUUGGACUUUGAUAACCAACAUCUGAGUUUGCUUGGGACUGAAGGGUUUCUCAGGGCUCAGAACUUUCAGUGCUAAAACCAGAACAGUCUCAGGCAAACCAGGCAGGAUGGUUGGUUGCCUUACUUGAACAUCCCAUAACACUUUUUUUUUUUUUUUUUUGCCCAGGCUGGAGUGCAAUGGCACGUUCUCAGCUCCCUGCAACCUCUAUCUCCCAAGUUCAAGAGAUUCUCCUGCCUCAGCCUUCCGAGUAGCUGGGAUUACAGGCAACUGCCACCAUGCCAGGCUAAUUUUUUGUAUUUUAAGUAGAGACAGGGUUUUGCCAUGUUGGCCAGGCUGGUCUUGAACUCCUAGCCUCAGGUGAUCCACCUGCCUCGGCCUCCCAAAUGCUGAGAUUACAGACAUGAGCCACCACGCC
rnacentral:lncRNA from 1 species